rnacentral:rRNA from 1 species
GAUGAACGCUGGCGGCGUGCCUAAUGCAUGCAAGUCGAGCGAACAGAUGAGGAGCUUGCUCCUCUGACGUUAGCGGCGGACGGGUGAGUAACACGUGGAUAACCUACCUAUAAGACUGGGAUAACUUCGGGAAACCGGAGCUAAUACCGGAUAAUAUAUUGAACCGCAUGGUUCAAUAGUGAAAGACGGUUUUGCUGUCACUUAUAGAUGGAUCCGCGCCGCAUUAGCUAGUUGGUAAGGUAACGGCUUACCAAGGCAACGAUGCGUAGCCGACCUGAGAGGGUGAUCGGCCACACUGGAACUGAGACACGGUCCAGACUCCUACGGGAGGCAGCAGUAGGGAAUCUUCCGCAAUGGGCGAAAGCCUGACGGAGCAACGCCGCGUGAGUGAUGAAGGUCUUCGGAUCGUAAAACUCUGUUAUUAGGGAAGAACAAAUGUGUAAGUAACGAUGCACGUCUUGACGGUACCUAGUCAGAAAGCCACGGCUAACUACGU